AUUUAUGCAGAGGUCCUGCAGCAGGGAGAUUCUGAAUGUCGGACCCUGUCGGUGGAAUGUCAUUAAUCAGAGGAUAAUGGACAGGAAGGCACCUGCUACAGAGCUCUACUAAUAUCACUAGAAGCUGCAAGUGGUUGAAGCCGGCAGAGGCACCCAGGUAUCGUAGACUAUCUAAAAUCGCCAUCACAAAACGUCUGCAAAGCACACACAGCCUACAGGGUGCUUAUAAGAAUCAGCUGGAGUGGCUACAUUUCUACUCCAGAGCUGCAAGCCCUCCUAAUUCCACAAGAAUCACUGCAGCCGUCAGGAAUACCCAGCAAGCCCCACGUGUGUGAGGUUUAAAAGAAAAUACUUAAAGCUUUCAAGCCUGAAUUUACAUAAUAUGAGCAUCCAGCCAAGUAUUUCACUCCAUUUCUCCUUCACAAGACUUUACUGUCUCCUCACAGCCGCGGCGCAGGCAGGCACCAUGCUCUUGGAUGUUUGCAUAUCCACCUCAAACAAACCCAGCACCUGCCCUUGUGUAGGUCUGUGACUGUUUUCAGACCAUAGAAUGGCCCCACAAAACAGGGAGGUGGGAUGUCCUCCAUCCCAUCUCAUCCCAUCCCAUCCCACUGCACACAUAGGAAUGGCUGUAAACAUCAUGAGGCUCCAUGGCAUUCCCAUAGUAUACUGCUAGCUGGGAUCAGGGUGAACUUUAGUGUUUCAUCUGGUAGAAUUAUUCCUUUCAGCAGGCCAUGGAAAUCAAUCUAAUCAAAUCAGAGUAUCUAUGGUGGAGAAUCUUUGUCCUUAAGAGCUGUAGCAACAGAAAUCCCCCACCUUCCAGCUUCUUUUUUAUUUAUGGCAAAGGGAGUUUUAUUUCUAGUGCAAAAUCAAGAACUUCCUUUUAUUCUGCAUCUUUACCUAAACGCCAUUCACAAAUUCAUUAAAAGAAAGAACAUAAGCCUUGAAUUCUGAGAAAUAAAUGGUUCUGCUCUGCCACAGAAUUCUUUUCUGAGCUGCAGUACAGUACUUUUAGCUUUAUAUAUCCUAGACUCAAUUUGUAAGUCACAAAGUAAAGGAAUGGUCCAUGUCACUGAUAAGGCUGUCAGCUCCCUACUCUGUGGUAGGGAUCCCACAGAUGGAUUUGCAGACAAGCAUGUGUAACAAUCUAAAAUGCAAACCCUCUUAUACCUGGUGGAUACAAGAGGAUGCCAUGGUUAAAAACCUUACUGGAUGCAGGCCACAUCCUGGCCUGUGGAUGAGGCUUUUAAAAAUCACAGUCUUGUAUAUUACAGGAAAAAGUGUAUGAAGAAUGUCCUUUUACUAGGAAGACUUCCAGGGAUGCACAAAGGCUGCUUAGCACGUUCAGCUGAGUUAUCUGGGAUGACCUUACGGAGGUGCUUCGCAUCAGGCAUCUACCCUUGGAAUCCUGGCAUGGUCCUGCUGACAUUUCUCGCUGUCGUGGCCUAUCAGGCGUGUUUGUUUUGCAUUGCUAUGAAUGGCAAGGCUGACACUUUCAUUCUUGCAAUGCUUUUCUGGCAGUUUCUGCAAAAGCUUUAAAAUGGACUCAACAGAGAUGGAUUGUCCCUGGCUGCAGCAGCCAACAGGUAGAAGGUGUUUGGUCUUCUUUCACUGUUACCCCAGCCUCGCAAAGACCCAAUAGCUGCGUGGAUCAAUAACCCCUGUGUUUCCAGUCCAUGCUUAUUAAAGGUGGUGCAUGGAAAAAAAGUAAGAAACUUUCUCUAUUUAUAUCUGGAACUUAAUGAAGUGAAAUUAUCACAGCCGACAGGCGCUAGUGUUGUAAUUCAGAGCCAUGGCUUGGCUUAGAGGGAUCUGCAGGCUGUUUUUAUUCCAAAUAAUAA